GUUCUACAGAACCAGAGCAGUGUUAUGUUCAGCGAAGAGCAUCCAAGGGGUCUGCCAGGCACACUGAAAUGCAGCAAUUUUAUCCAAAGGACUCAACAGCCACCUAGCUGGAGAGUAAUUUGUCUUCAUGACAUCCCCAAGAGGCAUUCAGGCAAAAAGGCUGUUACCACUGUGGGGGCGUUGGCAAGAGGAUCAACUUGGAGUCUGGACAGUGUGCUUGGGUGCCAAGAGUCUUGGGUUCUGCCACCAACUCUGUAGGACCAUGAGCGGGCCACUUACCCUAUGUGAGGUUUCCAUUUGCUCACUGAGGUGAGGGUAUUGGACAAAACCUCCAUGGUCCUGAUGGCUCUAACAUUCUACGAAUCUGUUAUCCUGAUCCUACACUCCAAAGCGUGAAAACAUUGUCUGGGAAGCCAGAAGAGAAAACCAGAAGUAGCCAGAGGAGGAAGAAUUCAUUGAUAUGUGGAG
rnacentral:lncRNA from 1 species